ACGCUCGACACUUACGGAGGCAGCAGUGGGGAAUAUUGGGCAAUGGGCGCAAGCCUGACCCAGCAACGCCGCGUGAAGGAAGAAGGCUUUCGGGUUGUAAACUUCUUUUCUCAGGGACGAAGAAAGUGACGGUACCUGAGGAACAAGCCACGGCUAACUACGUGCCAACAGCCGCGGUAAUCUGAGCGGGCUGGCAAGGC
rnacentral:rRNA from 1 species